rnacentral:lncRNA from 1 species
GAAAAUUUAAAGAGGCUUUGUAAGCAGUAGCAGAAAGGACAUAUCCAUGAGAAUAAAGAAGAAUGUAGUGAAAAUUAAAUCCAAAUAUAAUGGUUCAACAAAAUAAAUUAAAAAAAAGUAUUUUUCUCAUAAAACAUUUCUUGGCGACUGGUCAUGUUGAUGGGACCACUCUCUUCUAUGUUGUUUUGAAGGAAUCCUAACUCCUUCUGUCUCAUAGCUCAACCAUCCUAUAGGAUAUCAAUUUUAAUUGGAGCCAGUCAUUGCAUAAGGAAAGAGAUCAUAGAAGAGGCAUAUGGACUUCUUAAAAGCCUGGCUUCGGAGAUACCAAAUCAGUUCCAUUCACUUUCUAUUGACAUGAAAGAAAAGCGAGGAGACAACCCACCAGGAGAGCUUCACAGUUGUGCAGAAACUGGACAUGCACAAAAAGAGAAGUCAACAUAGUAGAGGAUGACUGUUUAUCAACUGUUGCUGGAAGCCUCAAUGAACAGUCUAUAUAAUCUGCUUCCUCUGACAAACAUCUGUUGGAUGUCUCAAAACUAAGUCCUUCCUCAUUAAACCACAGGUCAUGUCUAGUAUAGGAUGCCUCAUGUGAAGUAACUACACAACUAACAUUGCCUUCAGCUGUCUAGCACACAGAUCCCAGGCACUAACUCCCUACCCCCUCACCCCCCUGCAUCCAAUAGUUGUAAAUCUGGAGACCAUGCCACCCGGAAAACAAAACUUCAUAAGGGAAGGGUAUGGUGUUUGCUAGGAAGACAAACACACAUGCGUACAUACACAUAUUAGUUUGUUUAUUCAUCCAGCAGAUGUUUUUUGAGUACCACUAGGUAACAGAUACCAUAAGAAUUUCAAAGUGGAGGCACAUCUAGUGGGUACAAUUAAUUAAAGAGGUGUUAUCGACUCAGAUAAAGAGGAAAGCAUUUUGGCAUCUCUUCUGUUGUGAUCUCGGCUGUCAGUUCUGUAACCACAUUUCCUGAUUGUAACUAUACAAAUCCUGAAGUAAGAGGAAUUGGAAUUCCAGAGGAAAAAAUAUAGCAAAAUUAAAAUAGUUAAAUUUAAAAUUUCUCAAUAUAUGAAGACCAAGAUUUCAAUAAAUACAUUUAUAUAGAACCA